rnacentral:rRNA from 1 species
UACGGAGGGGGCAAGCGUUAUUCGGAUUCACUGGGCGUAAAGGGUGCGUAGGCGGCUGCGCAAGUCUGAUGUGAAAUCUUCACCGCUCAACGGGAAGAGGUCAUUGGAAACUGCGCAGCUCGAGUGUGGCAGAGGCGAGCGGAAUUCCUGGUGUAGCGGUGGAAUGUGUAGAUAUCAGGAAGAACACCGGUGACGAAGGCGGCUCGCUGGGCCAUUACUGACGCUGAGGCACGAAAGCGUGGGGAGCAAACGGG